ACCUACGGGGGGCAGCAGUGGGGAAUAUUGCACAAUGGGGGAAACCCUGAUGCAGCGACGCCGCGUGAGUGAAGAAGUAUUUCGGUAUGUAAAGCUCUAUCAGCAGGGAAGAAAAUGACGGUACCUGACUAAGAAGCCCCGGCUAACUACGUGCCAGCAGCCGCGGUAAUACGUAGGGGGCAAGCGUUAUCCGGAUUUACUGGGUGUAAAGGGAGCGUAGGUGGCAUGGUAAGCCAGAAGUGAAAACCCAGGUCUCAACUC
rnacentral:rRNA from 1 species